ACUAAACCAGAGUCAGGAACUGAUUAUCUUGUUGAACAUGGUUUGAAUGGAAAUAAUCCCCAACAAAACAAACAUUUCCCUUUUACCCUUUGAUAACCAGACCUGACUUGGCAGAAAAAUAGGGCUCCCCAGGCCACAUCUGUGAUGAUUUUGAUAAUGAUAAAAAUAAAAUUAUCCAAGUGAGUAGACAAUUCGCUUGGACAACUCUGCACCCACAACCCUCUUAUAUCUAUGUAACUGAGAUUCCAAGUAACUCCUUUCACUGGCGCCAAAAAGCUCGUUGUAGAUCCUUAUAUCUCACACGGGAUCCUUUAAACCAAUUAAAAUAUCACCAACAUCACAAUUUUCCAAUGUCUGACCACUUGUUUCUGGACCUGAUUCAUCAUCAGAACUUUCAGAUUCAGGUUCAAUCAUUUCUUCACUGUCAUCUAUAAGAACAUCAUUUGUGUCUUCAUCACCAUUGUCAUUUUGUUGCACUUCAAUGGCAUUUUCAGCUGUUUGAGGGGGUAAAGACUCUCCAUCUUGUAGAAGUGCAUGAUCUGACAAGACAACGUACGGCUUUCUAUCAAGUAAAGGCCUUGCAAUAUUAAAUGGAACCCACUGGUAACGGAGAGGACAG
rnacentral:misc_RNA from 1 species